rnacentral:rRNA from 1 species
ACAAGCUCGACAGAGAACCGGGUGGAUGCCUUGGCGCUGAAGGCCGAUGAAGGACGCGGAGACCGGCGAAACGUUCCGGGGGAGCUGCAUGCAAGCCAUGAGCCCGGAGAGUCCGAAUGGGG